rnacentral:rRNA from 1 species
UACGUAGGGUGCAAGCGUUAAUCGGAAUUACUGGGCGUAAAGCGUGCGCAGGCGGUUAUGCAAGACAGAUGUGAAAUCCCCGGGCUCAACCUGGGAACUGCAUUUGUGACUGCAUGGCUAGAGUACGGUAGAGGGGGAUGGAAUUCCGCGUGUAGCAGUGAAAUGCGUAGAGAUGUGGAGGAACACCGAUGGCGAAGGCAGCCCCCUGGGCUGAGAUUGACGCUCAGGCACGAAAGCGUGGGGAGCAAACAGG